GGAGAUGUGGCUCAGUGGUAGAGUGCUCACCUACCAUUGUAUGAGGCACUGGGUUCAAUCCUCAGCACCA
rnacentral:tRNA from 1 species